GACGAACGCUGGCGGCGUGCCUAAUACAUGCAAGUUGAGCGAUGAAGAUUGGUGCUUGCACCAAUUUGAAGAGCAGCGAACGGGUGAGUAACGCGUGGGGAAUCUGCCUUUGAGCGGGGGACAACAUUUGGAAACGAAUGCUAAUACCGCAUAACAACUUUAAACAUAAGUUUUAAGUUUGAAAGAUGCAAUUGCAUCACUCAAAGAUGAUCCCGCGUUGUAUUAGCUAGUUGGUGAGGUAAAGGCUCACCAAGGCGAUGAUACAUAGCCGACCUGAGAGGGUGAUCGGCCACAUUGGGACUGAGACACGGCCCAAACUCCUACGGGAGGCAGCAGUAGGGAAUCUUCGGCAAUGGACGAAAGUCUGACCGAGCAACGCCGCGUGAGUGAAGAAGGGUUUCGGAUCGUAAAACUCUGUUGGUAGAGAAGAACGUUGGUGAGAGUGGAAAGCUCAUCAAGUGACGGUAACUACCCAGAAAGGGACGGCUAACCACGUG
rnacentral:rRNA from 1 species